UACGAGGGGUGCAAACGUUAUUCGGAAUUACUGGGCGUAAAGGGUGCGUAGACGGCAACUCAAGUCAAUUAUAAAAUCUCUCGGCUUAACCGGGAGCUCGUAAUUGAGACUGUUUUGCUUGAGUGUGGAAGAGAGAAGUGGAAUUCUCGGAGUAGCGGUAAAAUGCGUAGAUCUCGAGAGGAACACCGAUGGCGAAGGCAGCUUCUUGGUCCACUACUGACGUUGAGGCACGAAAGCGUGGGGAGCAAACAGGAUUAGAUACCCUGGUAGUCCACGCUGUAAACGAUGAUCACUAGAUGUCAGAUCCAUUUUUGGAUUUGGUGUCGCAGCUAACGCGUUAAGUGAUCCGCCUGGGAAGUACGGUCGCAAGAUUAAA
rnacentral:rRNA from 1 species